UUGAACGCUAGCGGGAUGCUUUACACAUGCAAGUCGAACGGCAGCGCGGACUUCGGUCUGGCGGCGAGUGGCGAACGGGUGAGUAAUGUAUCGGAACGUGCCCAGUAGCGGGGGAUAACUACGCGAAAGCGUAGCUAAUACCGCAUACGCCCUACGGGGGAAAGCAGGGGAUCGUAAGACCUUGCACUAUUGGAGCGGCCGAUAUCGGAUUAGCUAGUUGGUGAGGUAACGGCUCACCAAGGCGACGAUCCGUAGCUGGUUUGAGAGGACGACCAGCCACACUGGGACUGAGACACGGCCCAGACUCCUACGGGAGGCAGCAGUGGGGAAUUUUGGACAAAGGGGGCAACCCUGAUCCAGCCAUCCCGCGUGUGCGAUGAAGGCCUUCGGGUUGUAAAGCACUUUUGGCAGGAAAGAAACGUCGCGGGCUAAUACCCCGUGGAACUGACGGUACCUGCAGAAUAAGCACCGGCUAACUACGUG
rnacentral:rRNA from 1 species